rnacentral:rRNA from 1 species
GGAUUAGAUACCCUGGUAGUCCACGCCCUAAACGAUGUCUACUAGUUGUCGGGUCUUAAUUGACUUGGUAACGCAGCUAUCGCGUGAAGUAGACCGCCUGGGGAGUACGGUCGCAAGAUUAAAACUCAAAGGAAUUGACGGGGACCCGCACAAGCGGUGGAUGAUGUGGAUUAAUUCGAUGCAACGCGAAAAACCUUACCUACCCUUGACAUGGAUGGAAUCCCGAAGAGAUUUGGGAGUGCUCGAAAGAGAACCAUCACACAGGUGCUGCAUGGCUGUCGUCAGCUCGUGUCGUGAGAUGUUGGGUUAAGUCCCGCAACGAGCGCAACCCUUGUCAUUAGUUGCUACGAAAGGGCACUCUAAUGAGACUGCCGGUGACAAACCGGAGGAAGGUGGGGAUGACGUCAAGUCCUCAUGGCCCUUAUGGGUAGGGCUUCACACGUCAUACAAUGGUACAUACAGAGGGCCGCCAACCCGCGAGGGGGAGCUAAUCCCAGAAAGUGUAUCGUAGUCCGGAUUGGAGUCUGCAACUCGACUCCAUGAAGUUGGAAUCGCUAGUAAUCGCGGAUCAGCAUGUCGCGGUGAAUACGUUCCCGGGUCUUGUACACACCGCCCGUCACACCAUGGGAGCGGGUUUUACCAGAAGUGGGUAGCCUAACCGCAAGGAGGGCGCUCACCACGGUAGGAUUCGUGACUGGGGUG